UAGGUUUACAUUCAAAACUCUGAGGCA
rnacentral:piRNA from 1 species